rnacentral:rRNA from 1 species
GACGAACGCUGGCGGCGCGCCUAACACAUGCAAGUCGAACGAGAGAUGAAGAGCUUGCUCUUCAAAUCGAGUGGCGAACGGGUGAGUAACGCGUGAGGAACCUGGCCUCAAAGAGGGGGACAACAGUUGGAAACGACUGCUAAUACCGCAUAAGCCCACGGCUCGGCAUCGAGCAGAGGGAAAAGGAGCAAUCCGCUUUGAGAUGGCCUCGCGUCCGAUUAGCUAGUUGGUGAGGUAAUGGCCCACCAAGGCGACGAUCGGUAGCCGGACUGAGAGGGUGACCGGGCCACAUUGGGACUGAGACACGGCCCAGACUCCUACGGGAGCAGCAGUGGGGAAUAUUGCACAAUGGAGGAAACUCUGAUGCGAGCGACGCCGCGUGAGUG